rnacentral:sRNA from 1 species
UCUGAGACUGUAGGCGAAGCCUUAUGGGCAU